UACGGAGGGGGCUAGCGUUGUUCGGAAUUACUGGGCGUAAAGCGCACGUAGGCGGCUUUGCAAGUUAGAGGUGAAAGCCCGGGGCUCAACUCCGGAAUUGCCUUUAAAACUGCAUCGCUAGAAUUGUGGAGAGGUAAGUGGAAUUCCGAGUGUAGAGGUGAAAUUCGUAGAUAUUCGGAAGAACGCCAGUGGCGAAGGCGACUUACUGGACACAUAUUGACGCUGAGGUGCGAAAGCGUGGGGAGCAAACAGG
rnacentral:rRNA from 1 species